AAAAAGGCUCUCUUGGGGAGCCACCAUUCUAAAAAUAAAAGUUGAG
rfam:Neotoma lepida isolate 417 scaffold_74, whole genome shotgun sequence.